rnacentral:rRNA from 1 species
AUUGAACGCUGGCGGCAGGCCUAACACAUGCAAGUCGAACGAGUGGCGGACGGGUGAGUACUGUCUGGGAAACUGCCCGAUGGAGGGGGAUAACUACUGUAAACGGUAGCUAAUACCGCAUACCAUCUUAUGUGCCCAGAUGGGAUUAGCUAGUAGGUGGGGUAAAGGCUCACCUAGGCGACGAUCCCUAGCUGGUCUGAGAGGAUGACCAGCCAAACUGGAACUGAGACACGGUCCAGACCCCGACGGGAGGCAGCAUGGGGGAAUAUUGCACAAUGGGCGCAAGCCUGAUACAGCCAUGCCGCGUGUAUGAAGAAGGCCUUCGGGUUGUAAAGUACUUUCAGCGGGGAGGCGUUACCCGCAGAAGAAGCACCGGCUAACUCCGUGCCAGCCGCCGCGGUAAUAC